GAGGAUGCCAUCAGAGAAUCUAGCUUGGACUGGAGGCUGUCCAGCUACAGAUAGACAGCAAAUAAAGUGGUUUAGUAUAUCAAAAAGCUGUACAUCUUCUUCUUGAGCUCCUGAUUCUCUUUUACCAAGUCUUGCAUGAGAGACUGAAAACAGAACAUAUGGGUCUUCAGAUACCUGAUGUGAGUUCAUUUUAAGUCUCUACGCUAAGAAGCUUUCUUUGGCAAACCAUUAAACAUUACAGCAACAUCACAGUAACUGACAGUAACUAGUGAAUUUCAAUGUGUGCUACAUUACAAAAGUGAGAGUUAAUUCUCUUGAGUCAAUUAAAUAACGAAUAAAAGUGUGUAGAAAACAUCAGGUUAUUAGUGUAGUAUUACAUUUCUCCUGGACAGUAAAAGGAGUUCAGAUGAUACAGAACUAGAGAAUGAGUCCUUACCUUGGACACACCUUCCUCGCUGUCCUCCACUUGUCCGUUCGUGUCCGAGGUGGAGAGGCUCGGCAUCUCUGUACCGCCGGACAGUUGCUCCAGCGCCGCCUUCUGCUCAUCAAGACGAGUUGAGCUUUUCUCAUCCGGCUGCGACUCACCGACAUCGCGAUCAAUGUCCGCUUUCCUUCCAUCCGCUGUCUCUCUCUCGGCUUCAAGGCGCUCCAGUCUACAGAGGAUACUGUGCAGCAGACUGCUCUGCUGAGUGUAAAGGCCAUUAAAGUUUACAUUUCCAGCUUCAAAAGAGUUGUUGCACUGCUUUAGCUGUUCAAAGAAAUAUCUGACUUCUGACAUUUUCGUACAGAAUAUGUUAAUCAGUCUCUGUAAAAAUUGCUUGCUAGCAGUCUGAUGUCUAAGAUACAGACGGAUUGAUUCAGUGAUUUGAGAAUUCUGAUUCACGAACAUGUGACGUAACAGUCAGCUACUACUCGAAUUCGAAUGUGUCACUGUAGAGACAGCCCAUGUUUGUUUUUUUUGUAAACAAGCAGAGGAGACAUUUGCACAUCUAAACAGUUCUGGUCUGAACUAGGUCCUCAUAUUUUUGACUGUACCAAUUUUACACAUGCUUUUAGUUUAAAAGACAUUAUUAUUAUUUUUUACAGCGAUACUAAAAAUAAACCUCUGGAGUAUGUGGUUAAUUAUUUUAUUUUAUACGUUAAUUUUUCAUUCAUGAACAAAGAUUUGCAAAUGGUUUUCCAUCCUUUCCCCACCUUAAACUUGAAUUAAACUAACUUUUUAAAAUCUCUUUAUUUUAUAAAGACCAAAAACCCUAAGAUCCCUUAACUAACUUGAAGAAAUAUUUAAGAAAGUCCAUGUAUUUAGAUGCUUUCCCCGUGUUGUAAAAUCUGAAUGUUAAUGUAUGUUUACAAUUGUAGUUGCUGUGUCCCUGACAUGUCAAUCUGUUGGAACAUGUGUGUGUUAAUAAUGUUCAAUUUACAUAUUGUUGUUGUUUUUCAUGCAAUUGUAAGUAAUUACUCUGCAAUGCUUAUGUAACUGCACAACCUCACUGCUGACCUGGGACUGGGUCUGGCCAGCUAGCUGGUUUAGGGCUCCAUCAGAUACAGAGACCAGAGGACCUUGCUGACUUAGCAAGACCUGCACGUGCUCCAAAGUCACACACUGGAAAAACAAGAUGAACAGAUUCAGUUUUUUUGCAUUCUACUAUUAUGUGACUGAACUGUGUUUACAUUCUGUGUAAAUUAAUUGAUUGCAGUAUGAAAAGAUAUUCUAAUUUUGACCAUGAUGGAUGUAAUUGGUAAAAAGGAGUGAAGUAUAUGUAUGUGGUCACCUGACUAAACUGAUUUUUAAGCGUCUCCACUUCUUUCUUCAGGCUGUACAUCUUCUUCUUGAGCUCCUGAUUCUCUUUUACCAUGUCUUGCAUGAGAGACUGAAAACAGAACAUAUGGGUCUUCAGAUACCUGAUGUGAGUUCAUUUUAAGUCUCUACGCUAAGAAGCUUUCUUUGGCAAACCAUUAAACAUUACAGCAACAUCACAGUAACUGACAGUAACUAGUGAAUUUCAAUGUGUGCUACAUUACAAAAGUGAGAGUUAAUUCUCUUGUCAAUUAAACAACGAAUAAAAGUGGGUAGAAAACAUCAGGUUAUUAGUGUAGUAUUACAUUUCUGCUGAACAGUAAAAGGAGUUCAGAUGAUACAGAACUACAGAAUGAGUCCUUACCUUGGACACUCCUUCCUCGCUGUCCUCCACUUGUCCGCUCGUGUCCGAGGUGGAGAGGCUCGGCAUCUCUGUACCGCCAGACAGUUGCUCCAGCGCCGCCUUCUGCUCAUCAAUACGAGUUGAGCUUUUCUCAUCCGGCUGCGACUCACUGACAUCGCGGUCAACGUCUGCUUUCCUUCCAUCCGCUGUCUCUCUCUUGGCUUCAAGGCACUCCAGCCUACAGAGGAUACUGUGCAGCAGACUGCUCUGCUGAGUGUAAAGGCCAUUAAAGUUUACAUUUCCAGCUUCAAAAGAGUUGUUGCACUGCUUUAGCUGUUCAAAGAAAUAUCUGACUUCUGACAUUUUCGUACAGAAUAUGUUAAUCAGUCUCUGUAAAAAUUGCUUGCUAGCAGUCUGAUGUCUAAGAUACAGACGGAUUGAUUCAGUGAUUUGAGAAUUCUGAUUCGCGAACACGUGACGUAACAGUCAGCUACUACUCGAAUUCGAAUGUGUCACCGUAGAGACAGCCCAUGUUUUUUUUUUGUAAACAAGCAGAGGAGACAUUUGCACAUCUAAACAGUUCUGGUCUGAACUAGGUCCUCAUAUUUUUGACUCUACCAAUUUUACACAUGCUUUUAGUUUAAAAGACAUUAUUAUUAUUUUAUUACAGCGAUACUAAAAAUAAACCUCUGGAGUAUGUGGUUAAUUAUUUUAUUUUAUACGUUAAUUUUUCAUUCAUGAACAAAGAUUUGCAAAUGGUUUUCCAUCCUUUCCCCACCUUAAAAUUGAAUUAAACUAACUUUUUAAAAUCUCUUUAUUUUAUAAAAAUCAAAAACCCUAAGAUCCCUUAAUUAACUUGAAGAAAUAUUUAAGAAAGUCCAUGUAUUUAGAUGCUUUCCCCGUGUUGUUAAAUCUGAAUGUUGAUGUAUGUUUACAAUUGUAGUUGCUGUGUCCCUUACAUGUCAAUCUGUUGGUACAUGUGUGUGUUAAUAAUGUUCAAUUUACAUAUUGUUGUUGUUUUUCAUGCAAUUGUAAGUAAUUACUCUGCAAUGCUUAUGUAACUGCUCAACCUCACUGCUGACCUGGGACUGGGUCUGGCCAGCUAGCUGGUUUAGGGCUCCAUCAGAUACAGAGACCAGAGGACCUUGCUGACUUAGCAAGACCUGCACAUGCUCCAAAGUGACACACUGGAA